rnacentral:rRNA from 1 species
CCUACGGGUGGCAGCAGUAGGGAAUAUUGCUCAAUGGGGGAAACCCUGAAGCAGCAACGCCGCGUGGAGGAUGAAGGUUUUCGGAUUGUAAACUCCUUUUGUUAGAGAAGCUAAUGACGUUAUCUAACGCAUAAGCACCGGCUAACUCCGUGCCAGCAGCCGCGGUAAUCCGGAGGGUGCAAGCGUUACUCGGAAUCACUGGGCGUAAAGAGCGCGUAGGCUGGAUAGCAAGUCAGAUGUGAAAUCCUAUGGCUUAACCAUAGAACUGCAUUUGAAACUGUUAUUCUAGAGUAUGGGAGAGGUAGGUGGAAUGCUUGGUGUAGGGGUAAAAUCCGUAGAGAUCAAGAGGAAUACUCAUUGCGAAGGCGACCUGCUAGAACAUAACUGACGCUGAUGCGCGAAAGCGUGGGGAGCAAACAGGAUUAGAUACCCCUGUAGUC